CAGCAGCCGCGGGAAUACAGAGGGUGCGAGCGUUAAUCGGAUUUACUGGGCGUAAAGCGUGCGUAGGCGGCUUUUUAAGUCAGAUGUGAAAUCCCUGAGCUUAACUUAGGAAUUGCAUUCGAUACUGGGAAGCUAGAGUAUGGGAGAGGAUGGUAGAAUUCCAGGUGUAGCGGUGAAAUGCGUAGAGAUCUGGAGGAAUACCGAUGGCGAAGGCAGCCAUCUGGCCUAAUACUGACGCUGAGGUACGAAAGCAUGGGGAGCAAACAGGAUUAGAUACCCGUGUAGUCCCUGUCUCUUAUAC
rnacentral:rRNA from 1 species